AACGAACGCUGGCGGCAUGCCUAACACAUGCAAGUCGAACGAGACCUUCGGGUCUAGUGGCGCACGGGUGCGUAACGCGUGGGAACCUGCCCUUAGGUUCGGAAUAACUCCCCGAAAGGGGUGCUAAUACCGGAUAAUGUCUUCGGACCAAAGAUUUAUCGCCUUUGGAUGGGCCCGCGUUGGAUUAGCUAGUUGGUAGGGUAAAAGCCUACCAAGGCGACGAUCCAUAGCUGGUCUGAGAGGAUGAUCAGCCACACUGGGACUGAGACACGGCCCAGACCCCUACGGGAGGGAGCAGGGGGAAAUAUGGGAAAAGGGGAGAGAUUCGAAUCCACAAACGCCGGGGGAGUAAUGAAGCCAUGAGGUUGAAAAAACUUUUUUCCCCGGGAUGAUAAGGACAGUACCGGGAGAAUAAGCCCGGGCUAACUCCGUC
rnacentral:rRNA from 1 species